rnacentral:lncRNA from 1 species
AAAAGAUUUGGUGUUUUGAUUCAAAGUUUUGAUUUAUUUCAUAAAGUCUUUGUUAUGUCUUGGUGGGUGUGACUUAUCUAUCAACAAAACAUUUAAUGAAAUUUUUGAAAGGUGAUAGAAAUGGUGAUGGGUGUGUAAGAAGUACUUCUCUUACACACACACAACUUGCAUGGCUUUAUUCACACCAACCUAUUUCCACUUGCAUGGCUUUAUGACUUAGUUGAAAAAUUUUCAAAAUUUUGAUGGCUUCAUUACUCUAAAAACCGGCCA